UGCCCCCUACGGGGGGCAGCAGUGGGGAAUAUUGCACAAUGGGGGAAACCCUGAUGCAGCGACGCCGCGUGGGUGAAGAAGUAUUUCGGUAUGUAAAGCCCUAUCAGCAGGGAAGAUAAUGACGGUACCUGACUAAGAAGCCCCGGCUAACUACGUGCCAGCAGCCGCGGUAAUACGUAGGGGGCAAGCGUUAUCCGGAUUUAUUGGGUUUAAAGGGUGCGCAGGCGGUCUGUUAAGUCAGCGGUCAAAGCCCGGGGCUCAACCCCGGCCCGCCGUUGAAACUGGCAGUCUCGAGUUGGAGAGAA
rnacentral:rRNA from 1 species